UACGUAGGGUGCAAGCGUUGUCCGGAAUUAUUGGGCGUAAAGAGCUUGUAGGCGGUUUGUCGCGUCUGCUGUGAAAUUUCGGGGCUCAACCCCGAACUUGCAGUGGGUACGGGCAGACUAGAGUGUGGUAGGGGGAGACUGGAAUUCCUGGUGUAGCGGUGAAAUGCGCAGAUAUCAGGAGGAACACCGAUGGCGAAGGCAGCUCUCUGGGACGGUACUGACGCUGAGACGCGAAAGCGUGGGGAGCGAACAGG
rnacentral:rRNA from 1 species